rnacentral:rRNA from 1 species
CUACGGAGGGUGCAAGCGUUAAUCGGAAUUACUGGGCGUAAAGCGCGCGUAGGCGGCUUGAUAAGUCGGAUGUGAAAUCCCCGGGCUUAACCUGGGAAUUGCGUUCGAUACUGUCAGGCUAGAGUGUGGUAGAGGGAAGUGGAAUUUCCGGUGUAGCGGUGAAAUGCGUAGAUAUCGGAAAGAACAUCAGUGGCGAAGGCGGCUUCCUGGAUCAACACUGACGCUGAGGUGCGAAAGCGUGGGGAGCAAACAGGAUUAGAAACCCCAGUAGUCC